rnacentral:rRNA from 1 species
UACGUAGGUGGCAAGCGUUGUCCGGAUUUAUUGGGUUUAAAGGGUGCGUAGGCGGCCUUAUAAGUCAGUGGUGAAAUACUCCAGCUUAACUGGAGGGGUGCCAUUGAUACUGCAAGGCUUGAGUGGAGUCGAGGUAGGCGGAAUUGACGGUGUAGCGGUGAAAUGCUUAGAUAUCGUCAAGAACACCGAUAGUGUAGACAGCUUACUAGGCUCAUACUGACGCUGAGGCACGAAAGUGUGGGGAUCAAACAGG